rnacentral:snoRNA from 1 species
AAGACGAUACUUUCAGGGGUCAUUUCUAUAGUUUAUUACUGGAGAAGGUUCUCUGAACGUGCAGGGCACCGAGAGUCACAAGGAGCAGGUGCAGUCGAUCUCCUGGGCGUGCAGCUGGCUCUAGGUGUUGCUUCCUUGCACCUCCUCCUGCCGCUGAUGAUCGUUCUCCUCUCCCAUUUUAGAGGAAUAAGAGGAAGGCACGCAGUCUGAGUGGG